rnacentral:rRNA from 1 species
GUGCCAGCAGCCGCGGUAAUACGAAGGUUGCUAGCGUUGUUCGGAAUCACUGGGCUUAAAGCGCAUGUAGGCGGCUCAUCAAGUGUCUUGUGAAAUCCCCCGGCUCAACCGGGGAAUUGCUGGGCAUACUGUUGAGCUUGAGGCAGGUAGGGAUGUGUGGAACUCUUGGUGGAGCGGUGGAAUGCGUAGAUAUCAAGAGGAACGCCGGAGGCGAAAGCGACGCAUUGGGCCUGUCCUGACGCUGAGAUGCGAAAGCCAGGGGAGCAAACGGGAUUAGAAACCCCUGUAGUCC